rnacentral:rRNA from 1 species
UACGGAGGGGGCUAGCGUUGUCCGAAGUUACUGGGCGUAAAGCGCGCGUAGGCGGGUUGGUAAGUCCGCUGUGAAAGCCCGGAGCUUAACUCCGGAGGGUCGGUGGAUACUGCCAGUCUUGAAGGUGCUAGGGGGAGAUGGAAUUACCGGUGGUAGCGGUGAAAUGCGCAGAUAUCAGGAAGAACACCCGUGGCGAAGGCGGCUCUCUGGGACGGUACUGACGCUGAGACGCGAAAGCGUGGGGAGCGAACAGG